rnacentral:lncRNA from 1 species
UCUUUUUUUUUUUUUUUUUUGCCAGUUAGUCUUUCAGCAACUUCAGGGGAGCUGAAAAUUGUUAUUCUUUAAGUUAUUUAUCACAGGUUAUUGGAGAUGGAAUAGCUUCUCCAGAACAUACACCUACCCACCAUACACAGUUAGAUACAAAACCAGUGAAGUUUUUGUACUUCUCAGUUUGUCAGAACUAAAUAAAGGUUAUCCUAGGAACACACAUUUGUACGGACAGAAUCUUGGCUCUUUUGUGUCUCCAUAUGGCCAGGACUGCUCAGAUUGUCAAACCUACAUCAUUAAUUCAGAGUUUUACCUAAACUGUAAUUGCUUUAACAUGAGGCGUUAUUCACAGGUAUAACAUUUCUUCUUUUUUGUUUUAAUUUUAAUAAAAGUUGUAUUUUACUAUGGUCAGUAGUUCUUAAAAUGGAUUGAAACAGGUACAUUGCAUUAAUUCUGCAUACCCUUGGUGGUAUUUUAAAACUAUUUCUAAUUCUGAAUUUGUAAAUCAUGUUGCCCUUUGAUAAUUCAGUCAUAAAAGGAAGAAGAAGUACAUAAAGUACUUCUUUAUGUAGAACUCAAAACUCAGAAAUAAAUGGCCCCCAAUACAAGUCUUAUGUAGAAACUGUAUUUCUGGUAAUACAAUUCAAAGUAAUCAAACUUUUCAAAGACAAUAAGAUAAAAGAAGAAAAGAAAAUUUGGGUUUACCUUAAAUAGUGACUGUUCCAAGAUUUUCUUGAUAAACUGAGUUGUUGACUUUGUGGGAGCAUUAUGUACUUGAAAAAAAGUUGAGAAAUUGUCAUACAAGAUGAAGUUAUUUAAAGUUAGGUCUGAGGUGUAGGUGUGUCUGUCAUUUCAGAUAAUAGAGGUUGCAUAUUUGCACUGCUGUGUGGAUGCUGAUCCAAGAAACCUAUAAAGCUGUCAGUAAUGUGUACCGCCUUGUACCUUCCUACAGUAAUCAAGAAGCUGAAUUAACUUCAAACUAUUGAGCAGGUCCAUGAGUCCAUUUUAUUCAAUUAUAUUUUUAUAUUUAAGAAGAUAUUAAGUAUUUAGCUUUAGUCAGCAUUUUACCCUUUUAAAACCACAUCCUGCUUUGCAUUGCAAGCAGUCAGGUGACCAAGAUGAUUUACCAUCUCCCCUGCCCUGUCUGUGUAAUGGUCCCACUGCAUCUGUUCACUGCCCACGUGAGAAGCAGCUUAGGGAAGGAACAGACAUCACAGUGCUGGGCAGCCUCAUCCAAGGUCAUGAAGAAAAAUUUAAUCUCUGAGCAGUAUGAGAAAUUCUUUCUAGCCUGUCUAAAUUACUUAGUUCUACAUUGAGUUUCAGUUUUCGUGAGUAGCAGCAGAAUGCAAGACCCCUUCAAAUUGCAGUUCAGGAAAUGAAUUUAUAACAUCUGAGUCUCCAGUGCAGAUUGCCAGUUCUGCAGCAGAUAGGCAGUGGUUUAACACUGCUGCACCUCAAAUGGGAAUGCACAUGUUGUUUCCUAUUGAAAAUAACACAGAGAAGGAAAAUAAUCUUCCUGUAGUAACUAAGGACAAAAAGCCAAAACAUUUUUUUCCCCAUAAUGAUGUUGGCUUAUCACAAUUGGAUUUUUGAACAGAAUGCCUUAAAUUUUGUGGGUUUGCAAGGAAUGCAGAGAGUGCACUCCUGCUGGUUAUUUCCAUAGCCUGCCAUGCUAACAGGAAAUAGUUCAUUUUAUAGAUAAUUGAUGUUUUAAGCUCUAGGUUACAUCCACCAUUGAGGAGCCUGUGCGGAUGGGGACAGUCACUGAGAGACACAUAAAGGAAGGCUGGGGGUGGGCAGAGUUGCCAGGGACAGCAGGUUACAGGAGGCUUUUUUGUUUGCUCAGGGAAGGGAGCGUGAACAGUGUGUCAACCCAUAGAGCUCAGGAAAGAAACCAGAGGAAUUAGACAUACCAGCACUGUUACAGGACUGUGACCUCUAAGGGAUCACAGGGACAGUAUGGCACAGCACAUUUGAAGUGGGAGGAUUCAAACUUUUUUGGAAAAGCAGACAGGGAAAUGAGUGGAAGUUGUGUUCUACACAAAACAGUUUCUAUUUGCCUGGAGCUUUCCCUGCUUGUUGUAAUAAGCGUUGAGUCAGCUGAGAGAUGAUGGGUCAAAAUUGGUGGGGACACUGGCAUGGGGAACACUGUGCAGGCACCUUCAAUAAAUUGAUGGGAAGGGGAAGCAGAUGAAGCUUUAAAUAACUACAAGGAGCUCACAAUUGUAAGAACUGCCUGCUUUGGAAUACAAAAUUGCUCUGCUAUCUGGAGGAGCACCCAGUGGGGUAAAAGAAGUCCAACCAAUUUUUGUGGGUCAUCAAGAACAUUCUUUUUUGUCCCAGAUUUGUUACUCAUAAACAAGGAAAGAAGAAAAAAUAGGCAAUGUUCAGGUAAAGGACAGCCUUGACCUUCUAAGGUCCAGGACCUUAGAAUUAAAACCCCAAGAGAAGGAAGACAAAUAGUAGAAUAAAGAUUCUGGGCUUCGGAAGAACAGAAUUUGUCUUGUUUGGGAAAUUGGUUUGUCAGAACCUCUCAGGAACAUGCGAUGGGGGCAAUGGAGAUCUUCUCUUUGAAACUCAAAGAGAAGAACAUGCUCACAGAACAAAAGCUGGCUUGGCUGGUGAGCUGGAACUCAAGCAGGCAGAGCUUGGCUGAUCCAGCAGAGCUCCUCUGAACUCAAACACCAGAAAGGGAGGGCUGGAAAGAUGGAAACAGGUAUGAGCUACUCAGGCAUGAGGGAAUGGAGUUGAGUACUGGAACAGUGGCCCAGAGAGGCUCUGACAUCUCUGUCUGUGGAGAUUUUCACAACUGAACAGGACAAGGUCCUGAGCAACCUGGUGUAACAUCAGCACUGGCCUUGCUUUGAGCAGGGCCUUGGCCUAGAGGCCUCCAGAGGUCCCUUCUGGCUACAUGACGGUGAUUUCCUGUACUUUAGUCCUUACGCAAACUGCGUAUUUGAGGCUCCAUUCUGCCACCAGACGCAUCACGUUUAAGACAUGGUAAAAAUGAUCAAGACUUUAAAACAAAAUUGAAAAAGGAUGGCUAUGAUUUUAGGUACUCUUCGUGUUGGGUUGUCUUUGCUGAACACUUGUAGUUCCCAAGGACUGUGAGCUUUACUGUUGAGUAGUAGACUGAUGCAGAGUUGUCACAAAAGCUCACCUUGAGGAAGAGGUUAUCUCUGUGCUGAGGCUCCUUGGUGGCACAAUGACACUGCUUCAACUCUGACUUCAAGAUCCUUCUCAUACUAAAGAAGUCCAAUGGAUCCCUGUGUGCUUCAUGUUUGAGGUUACAUUGUACAAAUGUGCAUGACAGGAGUAUAAAAGAAACAGUGGAGGUUGCGUGUAGUUUGUUGGUUCUGCCUGCAGUGUGUUGUAUAUAUUUGUGGGAACUGAAAACAUGACCUUAUUUAUAUAAGGUUUAUUUGAUGUUAGGCUGAACAGAAGCAUAACAAAUAGAAUGAAAGUACUAUAAGCAAAAAAACCCCAAACCCUGUUGACUCAGUGUUUGGUCUGUAGAAUGUUUUUCUGAGUUAACAGAAGGCCUUGAGGCCAUUCUGGGUAAUGACAUUUAUCGAAAAUAAUAUUGCUAUCUAAAAAGUAGUACUGAAAGAGCCUAGAAUGCCAAACACAGGUUUUAAAACCUAACCCAAAAGCCUAACAAAGCUAGGAUCUGGGAGGAGCAAAAGAGAAGGAAAAUACACUAACUAGUGUCCCUGUUACUAAAUCUGCAUUGAGCUUGUAGCCCAGAGAGAAUGUUGAGCUGCAGCUUUUGGAUGUGGAACAAGGGAUGUUCUAGAUCCAUAUUUACAUCUGACCAAAGAGAAGGCUCCAGCAGGAGUUGAGAGUACAUAAGGGCAGCAGCUCUUGCCAAGGUCCUACUGAAUGAUGCCUCCUGCACUCUUGCUAAAUGUCUUAAGAUUCUCCCAGAGUGUGCAAAUGGAUCUGGCAGCAGUGAGGAGCAGCUACAGUUACAAUCAUGCUUAUUCCAGCAAAGAUCAUCAUCAUCUCUCCAGGUCUGAAACACUGCCAGGUGCAGGUUUCACUCUGGCCCUCGCAGGGUUUUUUAUGUAUCUCUAUGGUAACACAGUGUGUCAGCAUUCCAUUAAGUUUUGUGGUAGACAGUUGAUGUAAACAUUGUUUUUUCAGUCUAUCUGGCUUUAAAGAGACAUAACAGUGUAACUGCUAAAUAAGCUUUGUGCUAGAUCAUAUAAAAUAUGUCCAGUGAUGAUAUUUGGUUAUUAGUAACUGGGCAAAGUGAACCCACAGUUUUAAGUCAUAUAGUGAUCAGGUCAUAGAGUGAACCCAAAUGUCAUAAUUUUUAUAUUCAUUGUGCCAGUUUACUUGGACAUUACCUCUUAAAGCGAUUUAUCAAUCAUUAUAUGCCUGCUGAGACUUUCCUCUGGGUUAAGAGACAGUUAAAAGAAAUUUGCAGUGGUUUUGCUCUAUGAGCCUGGCAUAAAGGCUUUGUGCUGACAUGAGGCUGUAACCCCAGACCUUGGAAAUUCCAUUUUUAAGUGCUGACAGUUUUGCAGAUAUAUAGGUUCAUGCAGCUUCUCAGAGAGGCUUUGGAAAAAUUACAAGCUGAAGUCAGUCAGUCUGUGCCCUGUGACAGAAGAGGGCUCUCAGCAGGCAUGUGCCAGCACCUCUUCAUCUUUCAGCAGAAUUCCUGACUUAUGUGGAGACCUAGCUGUGUUUCAAGGAAUUCAUUGGCACAAACAUGAAGUUUUCUGAAGAAGGAAAACAUAUCUGAUGUGGAUUCAGAGUAGCAAGUACAGUUUUUAAGAGAGACAUUCAGAUUUAGGAAAGUUUUAGUGCUUUGUAUCUGUGCAGGAUUUAGGAAAUGCAACUUGAGACCCUGACAGGCCUCAAAAAAAAAAAA